rnacentral:lncRNA from 1 species
GGCCUCUGACUUCUGUGUAAUAGGAAUAAUAAUUACAUCUGGAUGAGGAUUACAUGACUUAAAAGCACAUGAGGAUAAGGAAAUCUGAGUAGCUUGCAGAUUUCUACAUUCUCCAAACAAAGCCAAACUUUUUAUUCAUCCAUACUCUCUACAGUAUCUUCAGAUGGCAGCAUUGCAUUUAUGUAAAUAACAGACUGAGAAGCUGGUGGUGUCUCUAUGAGAUUAGAAGUCUCUUCCUGCCAAAAGACACCUUGCCCUGUGAUGGAAAACUGGGGCUGGGGAUCCCAGGAGUGGCUGCAGUGUCUUAUAGAGCUGUAGUGGCUCUGAAGUGGAUUCCUCAGAUGCCAUCAACUGAUUCAGCUUGGGUGAUGGAAUCAGGUAGAUGAGCAAAAGCAAACUGUUCUUUGUGUUAUCACUCAGGACCUAAAUAAAGAUAAAAAUGACUCAGAUUGACCAGGCACAGGUAUCACCUAGUGAAAUGUUGGGAAGGCACUUAUCUAACAACACGGUGCUAUGAGUAUUCAACCCCCGUGUUAGUUCAAGGGUAAAAUAGAGAACACAGAAUUUCCUUCUGUUUCCCAAGAAAAAGUUUGGCUUGGUAUAGCUUCCAAGGAAUUUGCUUUGUUUAUGUAUUUUUUGAUGUCCAAACAUAAAUCUAUUGUC